rnacentral:lncRNA from 1 species
UUCUACUCCCCCUUUUUGUCAUCAGCAAAGAAGGGGACAAAUUAUCCUUAGGUACUUAAAACUCAAUUCCUAGUAGAAUUCAGCAUAUUACUAUGAACCACUCAAGGAUAUUCAAGUUAUUUUCAUUUCACUCCCCCUUUGUUUUGGAAUUCAUUUCAGACUCCUCUUUUUGUUUAAAAUAGUUAUCACAAGAUGUGCUCCCCCUGUUGGAUAUGCAUUGAUAAAUUGUGUCAAAUUUGAACACUUAAGGUAUGUUAUGAGAUUUUUAUGGCACAACACAGAAUCACAUACACAAAGUUUGAUUCCACAGGAUUUGAAACAAACACAAGAUUUCAAAAGAAAUUGUAUGUCAUUCAUAUGUCAUUGCAAUCAUUUGAAGGCAUUACAAGGGUAAAAGAAAAAAGAGGAAAUCAUUACAAGUAUUGAUUCCUAAUACAAAAGAAGUGUCAAAAUGAGCCUAGGGUUUUACAAAAAUAGAUGAACCCUAGAUGUCUACAAAAUGUCCCUCAUCGGCGACGUUGUUCAAUAGCCCUAGCAGCUGCCUCUAUAAAUGCAUUUAUUGAGUCCAGUAGAGUUUUGAACUGAUCUCCUUGAGAUUGAUGGAAGGCUGCUACUAGUGCUUCAAACUCGAGACUUGCCCUUUCAA